CAAUAGCGUAUAUUAAAGUUGUUGCAGUUAAAAAGCUCGUAGUUGGAUUUCUGGUAAGAGUGAACGAUCCGUUACUAAGUAAUGUGAAUUGUUUCAUCUCUGGCCAUCCUUGAAGAGAAUAUAUUUGGCAUUAAGUUGUCGAGUAUGGGACCUUCAUCGUUUACUGUGAAGAAAUUAGGGUGUUCAAAGCAGGCUUAUGCCGUUGAAUACAUUAGCAUGGAAUAAUAAGAUAGGACCUAAAUACUAUUUUGUUGGUUUGCGCAUUUUAGGUAAUGAUUAAUAGGGACAGUUGGGGGUAUUCGUAUUCAAUUGUCAGAGGUGAAAUUCUUGGAUUUAUGGAAGACGAACUACUGCGAAAGCAUUUACCAAGGAUGUUUUCAUUAAUCAAGAACGAAAGUUAGGGGAUCGAAGACGAUCAGAUAC
rnacentral:rRNA from 1 species